rnacentral:piRNA from 1 species
UAGUGACGAAUGAGGCUGCCUUUCCCGCU